AGAACAUUGUAAGGUCUUCAGUUUCCUCCAAUUUCUUUGAGUUCUGCUGACUCCAAGACACUGUCACCGAGUCACUUGUUCUUCAAGAAAGUGCCCAGGCUCACCUCCUCUGCUGUGUUGAGAUGAAUUCUCGGUGGAACCACCCAGCUGGGGAGCCCAAGUACCUCCGGAUGGGAGCCCCAUAUGGCAGGGAAGUACCUGUUUUUUCCGAGUUCCUGUCGCUGUCUCGGGGACGGGAACAAGGCUCAGCACUUGCAGCCUUUGCAGAAUUCUGGAACAGAGGCCAGCCACACCCCAGGUCUGUUCAUGGGUGGCUUCUCUGGGACAGGGGUGGCAGAAGCCAGAGGCACUUGGGCUGUGGGGGCCUCUGAGGAUCGAGGUCUAGGAGCAGCUGCUCCCCGGUUGCUGCCUUUCCCCAAGGACAUGACUCGGGGAAGAGGCUGGGUCAUUCCUCCUGCAGUUGUGCCAGUUGGGCUCAGCAAACCCCACCAUAAAAUCUUGGCCUGAGUCCAGAUGAUAUUACUUGGACAUGUUUUGCCUCCAAAUCUCAUGCUGAAAUGCCCCUCCGGUGUUGGAGGUGGGCCUCCUGAGAGGUGCCUGGAUCAUGGUGGUGAAUCCCUCAUGAAUGCUUGGUGUGUCUUGUUGUAAUGAGUGAAUUCUUGCUCUGCGCUCACACGAGAUCUGGUUCUUUAAAGAGUCCAGGCUGGGCACAGUGGUUUAUGCCUGUGAUCCCAGCACCGGGAGGUUGAGGCAGGCAGAUCACUUGAGGUCAAUUGUUCAAGACCAGCCUGGCCAACAUGGUGAAACUCCAUCUCUAUCAAAAAUAUAAAAAUUAGCUGGGCUUGGUGGUACACGCUUGUAGUCCCAGCUACUUGGGAGGCUGAGGCAGGAGAAUCACUUGAAACCAGGAAGCGGAGGCUGUAGUGAACCAAGAUUGUGUCACUGCACUACAGCCUCAACAACAGAGAGAGACUGUGCCACACACACACACACACACACACACACACACACAUAUACACAUACACACAAAGACAUAUACACACAUACAUAUAUACACACAAACACACAUGCAUGCACACAUACACACAUACAUAUACACAUACACACAUACACAUCUACACACAUACAUACACAUACACACACAUAUACACAUACACACACAUACACAUAUACACAUACACACAAAGACAUAUACACAUACAUACAUAUAUACACACAAACACACAUGCAUGCACACAUACACACAUACAUAUACACAUACACACAUACACAUCUACACACAUACAUACACAUACACACACAUAUACACAUACACACACACACAUAUACACAUACACACAAAGACAUAUACACACACAUACAUAUAUACACACAAACACACAUACACACAUACACAAACACAUAUACACACAUACAUGUAUACACACAAACACGCACAUGCAUACACUCAAACACACAUACACACACACAAAGACAGAAAACAAAGUCUGGGACUGCCUCCCCGUCUUGCUCCCGCUCUAACCCUGUGCCAUGCCCGCUCCCACUUCGCCUUCUGCCUUGAUUGUUGGCUUCCUGAGGCCUCCCUGAAGCCAAGCAGAUGCUGGCACCUGCUUCCUGUGCAGCCCACAGAACCAUGAGUCAAUGAGACCUCUUUCCUUAUAAAUUACCCAGCCUCAGGUAUUCCAUUACAGCAAGGAAAGAACAGACUAACACAACAUGUUGGUGACUUCUGAGGCUCCCCUUCCUGCUGUCUGUGGGGACCGGUCCCUCCUUUGACCACCUGCAGAAAUUCAUCCUAACCACUGCUCUGGUGCCAGCGCGUUGCCACCACAGGUGCUGGGGUUUUUGGUUUUCUUGAGAGCACACUAGCAGGCUCUGUGGGCCGCGGGACACCAGAGGACCCUCUUUUAGGAAGGAGCUGUGGGCCGCGGGACACCAGAGGACCCUCUUUUAGGAAGGAGCUGUGGGCCGCGGGACACCAGAGGACCCUCUUUUAGGAAGGAGCUAUGCAGAACAGCUUGGGCCACCGCCAGCCAGGACGUCCCCCUUAGGAGCUGGGCUAGCACGGCAGGCAUGAGAUGUGCAGGGAAGGGGCCCCUCCCACCAGGUCAGAGGAGAGGCAGGGAGGCCAGCCCCACCAAAGCCAGGCCUCCAUUUAUUUGUAAAGUGAGAGCUGGAACUUCACAAUCACAAAAGGUUUUUCCCAAGAACCAAAAGGACGUAGUUUCUAACAGUUCUCCUCCCUCUCCUUUGUGGCUGACAAUGAAUGACCUAAUCCGCUUCCUUUCUGAGUAAUUCUCCUGCCCAGUGACUCACCCAGGUGCAGCUGAGACACACGGGCGCAGGGCUGCCACCUGCAAAGUGCAGAAACGAUGGAGCAGACGGGUCCAAGAGCCUUCGGCAUCCCAAAUGAAUCAGGAGGGACACGCAGGCUGCGUGACGUCUGCCCCUGAACCAGGAAAGUGUGGCUGCUUCCUCCACACCCCGCCCGCCGCCCCGGACCCAGGGCCCUUCUCAAAAAAGCAAUGCCCGGAGCUGCAGCAGUCAUUUUGUGAUUGUGAAGCCAUGAACUGGGGAAUGAAGACCAGCAUCAAAGAUGGCAAAACAGAGAGAGGUAAAGAGCAAUCAUUCCCUGAUGGCAUGGCUGGGCCACUGCUCCAACCCUGUGAGGCCACACGUCUCCAUAUUACAUGAGCCAAGGCUGUCUUCCGCAUCUAAACUUCUCUACACCCAGCUCGGGGUGGCACCGUGGCCUGGAGAUGCAGUUGGAACGAGGAAGAGAUAUCCCACUGGAAAACUUUUUCUGACUCUGAUGAGGUGACCUUGUAUCAUUGGGGUUGUGGGGAGGGCUUGCACAUACACAGAACACUAUUUUGAUCAGAGAAGUGUUUUGUUUUUCUUCCUGUUUUACAAGAACACACACUAAGUAUAUCUGGUAUUUGUAUGGACUCAGUCACCCUGAACCCAAAUAUUGACAUUCCAGGUGAAUUAGUCCUACACUUGGGUCUGCUGGCUCACCUCAGGUGCCAGCAUGUUUUCGGGAAAGAGUGCCAGGCCCAGGCAGAGAGGCCCAGGGCUCCCGUGGAUGGCUGCACAAUGCCUGGCCCUACCCAGUGGGGCCCUGGAGAAAUUACCGGUGAUUCUGUCCACGGUCCUCGCUCUGCCAGCACUCAGCCCCGGGCCAGCCCCACUGCUGCAUUCCAGCUGAUGGAACAGCAGGACAGGUGGCCACUGCUCACCUGGACAGCUGUGGCUGCUCUCAUGGUCUUGCUGUAGGGCAGGAGACAGGGCAGAGAGACUGGGGUUUGCACCUCUAAUGCCAGAGAACCAGACUGGCUGUGUCUCACCCCGGGUCUGGCUCAGCCCUGCCGGGUUGUCCACCCUGAGGAGGUCAGAGCUGAAGUGUUAAUUUUGUAUGUCUGGCUAGAGGCACAGUGCUUGCAUACAGUAGGUGCUCAGGGUUUGUUUUAUUGAGAUAUUUUUUACUAUUUGAAAUAUGUACACACUUUUGUCUUUGAAGAAAAGAGUUCUUUUUGUUAAUGAAAUGCAAACAGAUACCUGGUGAAGUUAAAGCAUUUUAGGCACUUGGUUUAACGUCAGGUUUUUAAACUGUUCACAUCACCUGGUGUUCGGUGUUCACGGUGCGCACAUUUGCAGCAGAGUCUGAUACACACAACACACACAUCCACCCCACACACACAUACACACACAGCACACACACCACACACAUCCACCCCCCACACACAUAUACACACACCACACACCACACAUAUACACACACCCCACAUACCACACACACCACACACCACACAUAUACACACACACACCAUACACAUCCAUGCCACACACACAUAUACACACACCCCACACACACAUAUACACACACCCCACAUCACACAUAUACACACACACACCACACACAUCCACCCCCCACACACAUAUACACACACCACACACCACACAUAUACACACACCCCACACACAUCCACCCCACACGCACAUAUACACACACCCACCACAUACCACACACAUACCACACACAUCCACCCCCACACACAUAUACACACACCCCACACACACAUAUACACACACCCUACAUACUACACACACCAUACACCACACAUAUACACACACACCACAUACCACACACACCACACACCACACAUAUACACACACACCACACACAUCCACACCACACACACAUAUACACACACCCACCACAUACCACACACAUACCACACACAUCCACCCCCACACACAUAUACACACACCCCACAUACCACACACACCACACACACCACACAUAUACACACACACAUACCCACACAUCCACCCCACACUCACAUAUACACACACACACCACAUACCACACACAUCCACGCCACACACACAUAUACACACACCACACACCACACAUAUACACACAUACCACACACA